rnacentral:lncRNA from 1 species
CUCUGGCAAGCUGCUGUACAGCCCUCACAUUAUCUCAGACAUUUUGAAUUGAAAAGGUAUCCUAAGAAGAAAAUAAGCCCAACAUACUUCUGGCCCAAGGAACCUCUUAGAGACUGUCUCUUUGGUACAGCACUAAGUUCUUGUAUGGAUAGAAAAGGCCUCCAGACUCAUCCCUUCUUCUGUUCAGUCUCAGACCAAACAGCUGUUAUUCCAGGAAGGUGAAUUCCUCAUUAAGUCAGGCAAGUUGAAAAUAUGUUCUCUCCUGAAACCACUAAUCCU